GUGAUGAGCAGCCACAUCCCCAGACCCUAGGCCAGAUGCAAGCAAGAAAAACACUCUCCGAAGCUCCGAGGAAAAUCGAUUAAAAUGUCGUUUAACAGGUGAAUAGUAAAGUGAGAUUACGAAACCCAGUGCAGUGUCAUCAUGAAGGUAGGUAUUCACAUUCAAAUCAACACGACCUUCAAAACAGAUGAGCGCCAAUUCUGUGCCGGUGUGGUGUGCAGAGGAUCAUCUGUUGCAACUCUCCCCAUGGAUGGCAUUCAAUUUGCUUCAAUCUUCUCACACGGGGAGCCAUUUACCUAAGGCAAGCAAAAUGUCUUGACAGCUUAAGACAAUAGGUCAGGAGGACAGAAGGUCGAAACACAAAAGGUUGAUUGAAUGGGGCGGGAAAUAAUCGAUUAAAUGUUAUGAGCGUGAUUUUCAUUGACCGCCCGUAGUUGGUACUUACUUUUAUGAUCAGUUGUUGCAUAGAGGACCGACAGAUCACCCGAA